AACUGAAGAUACUGCACUUAUGACAGCAAUAUAAAUGUCUUCAAAUGGGAGAUCAUGUUCGAUAAAACACGUCAAAGGUAAAAUCAGAAGUCAUUAUGGAAAAAAGGCUGAAUGCAACAAGCAAGUCCUCAAUUAGCAUCAGGGCAUGUGAUUUGGAUGAUGCGACUGUUAAUCCUUCUGGUUUAUGUCGGAGAUUAAAACGCAUCCUGGACAGUGAUUGGACGAUUCUUCUCAGAGGAGUCAUUUCACAUCACAUUAUACAUUUAUUGGUGUUUGUCAUUAUGACAAUAAGUAAACUGAGAUUAACUUUAAUAAUGUUCCUGUUAUUAGCAGAGUCAGUGUAGGACGCACAUGUACUCAACUGUACUCAAAUAGUAAACUGUUGAUAUACUUGUACUUUUCUUUCCAUUAAAUACUAAUUUAAAUUUCCCUUUACAUUUCAGAGGUACUUUUUACUCUAUAACAUUUAAAUACCUUUGAAAGGAGCCAUUUUGCAUGAUGAGUCAUUUUACUUUUGAUACGUUAAGCACGUUUCUUUGAUAAUACCUCUAUACUUUUACUUAAGUAACAUUUCAGUGCUUUUACUUGCAAUGGUGAAUUUUUAGACUAUGGUGUUUCCACUUUUACUCAAGUAAUCUUAUGGAUCUGAGUAGCCUACUUCUUCCACCACUGAGCAGAGUACAUGUACUGUACCUAUGAUUUAAUGCUGUCAGUUGUUCUUUUCCCCACACAGUAUGUAGGAGUGAAGGUGUGUUAGCCUUCACCCUGUGAAGAUCUAGUAUCAUUGUUGGCUGGCUGUAUGCCAUUAGUGGUGUGUGUGUGUGUGUGUGUGUGUGUGUGUGUGUGUGUGUGUGUGUGAGAGAAUGUGUGUGUGUGUGUGUGUGUGUGUGUGUGUGUGUGUGUGUGUGUGUGUCCUAUCUGUUACUGUUGAGCUUGCUUUUAGGUACAUUCAAUAGAAUGCAAUACAACAUGAUGAUGCCAAGUUAUACCAUAUAAUAUAAUGCAAUAGUCCUUUUUUUUACAGCACACACAUUGUCAUAGGGUCACAGGUUUUACCAACAACUUUACAGAUGGCCCCAUUCUAUUGAAGCAGCAUGCACAAUACCAGGACCCUGAGAUCUUAUUAGUUACACCCCAGCUUUUCCUACCAUGAAAAAGGCCUAUGCCAUACAGAAGGCCCCUCGCAUUGCUCGGGCUAAUUAGACCUCCAGUCAGGUUGAAGCUGUGCAAAACUAAAAGGACAGUAAGGGUGAAGUCGGUUUAGCUCAGUUUGUACACACCCACACAGUCCAGAGAAGAGAUCUAAUCAGGCAACAUGAGUGAAAACACCUGCUGUGUGCGCACCUCUGCCUGAGUACACAGGUCUUUAUUUUCAAUAUUAUUUCCACACACAUUAAAAAUAUUCACUGUAUCAUAAUCAUCCUCAUCAUUAUCUUUAAAUAUUUAUAUAUAUAUAUUUUCUUCAAAAAGGGCCAUUUUGCUGACUUAGUGCAGAAGCUUUAAGAUUGUAGAACUAAUUCUGCCCUAUCACUUUGUCCUGUGCAGUGCAGGAUGGGAUGUUGGAUGGAUGCCACCUCCUGUGGGAUGUACUUCCUGUCCUCUGCCUGCCUCAGCAGUCUAAGAACAGAAGCACUGCCAAGAGAAAGACCUAUCAGAUUCUCAGUCCAAAAUAAAUUGGAGACAGCGACCCAGACCGGAUGGACCAGAUGGACAGUUAUCCACUGAUUUUGCAUCACCAGCUGUAAGUCAUGACUGGUUUUCAAGACGGCAGCCGCGUGUAAACAUGAACCUAAGGUACAGGUUCAGAGGGAUCAACGAGCAGAGAGCACCACUGCUGAACGCACAGUGAUCACCUACACACUACAACUGUGAAGACGAUUGCCAGGAAGGUCUAAACAGGCAGUCUCCAGAGAACAAGGAAGAUAUGGAAGGAAAUGAAUUCCCUCUUCAUAUCAGACCCAAAGGCAAACUGUUUGUAGGACUUCAAAGACUGGAGCGGUGAACUUCUGGAGCAGGGAAGCUUUUGAUUUGUUAUCCUUUUGCAGCCUUUUUCAAACACCAUGCAGAGGACACUUUAUUUGUUCAGUGUUUUCCAAGAUAUCAUGUGGUUAUACGGUUCAAACAACCCUUUGUGUGGACAUGUCAAUUCAUUUUUUUUGUCUGUGGUCACCAGGUCUGUUUAUAUAAAAAGGUCUCAUUUGAA